rnacentral:lncRNA from 1 species
CUUGCUAGUAUAUAGUGUAUACAUAUACAAAAUAUAGACUACACAAUAUACAAGUCUAUAUAGUCAAAGCUGUAUAUACUGUAUAUUCUCGCUUUUAUCAACUUGCUAGUCUGUAUAUAGUGUAUAUUGUGUAUAUAUAUUAACAGAUACUGGUAUCUUAGUGAUUAAAUACCGCUAUUGUAAUUGUAAUUUGUACUGAUACUAAUGCAUGCAGAUAUGAAACGUUGUUUUGUAACCAAAUAUUCUAUUACACGUACAUAUUUCACUCAAACCAGUCUUAUAGCCUAUGGCUAUGGUUAUAUUUAUAAGUAAGAAGUUAUAAAGGCAUGUUUUCUCGUUCUUAAAAGAAUCCGCUUUAAUAUAUACAAUCAGUGACACAUAAUCAUAUGAUACAUAAGUCAUCAAGGCAUAUAUGUUUCCUUAGUUUCCUCGUUCUUAAAAAAAUCCCGCUUUAAACAUUCAGUGACACAUUCAUAGUCAUAUGCAUGAUAGCCUACAUUACUAAAGUCAUAAAGGCAAAUAUGUUUCGUCGUUCUUAGAAAAUCCCACUUAAUUCAUAAAUUGACACAUAUUGUCACUAUUAGCACUUUUGACUACACUAUUUUCACAAUAUACACUGUAUACUCUUCGACAUUCACUCAAACACACAUAUAGACAGUAUAAUUACUCACAAUAUAUACACUAUAUAGCCUACUCUUUGACAUUCACUCAAACACUCACUAUAUACACUGUAUACACUUUUGACUAUAUACUGAUAAAUAUACUUAUAUUGUGUAUAUAUAGACACUAUAUACACAAUAUACACUAUAUAGUAAUAUAUUCUCACUGCUCGCUUUCCCCGCACAAUACCUUUGACUGAGGGAAUUCAGAUUGGGGAUAAAUAAUUUUCAGCCAAAGGUAGAGUGCGGCGAAGCUAUGUCCGGAAGUGUCGCAGCCGAGGGGAGGUGGGUGGGUCCCAAAAAAUUUCAGCGCCGUUCUUCCUUUUCGGUGGCAAAUCCGCAAAUGCUAAAAAAAUACCGCGGAUUCUGUGCUACUUUUAUACUGUCUGACAAUCACGUGGUGUAUAUGGAUGACUAACUGAUCAUCUCAUGCAUAAAUAUUCAAAGUAUAUGGUAUUGUGAGAGAAAACUCCCAGUGAGAAUAGUAAUAUAUUCUCACUGCUCGCUUUCCCCGCACAAUACCUUUGACUGAGGGAAUUCAGAUUGGGAAUAAAUAAUUUCCAGCCCCGGCGAACUCCGGCUCCUUAAACAUCACCAUAGGCAGAAAAUAUUACAAAGACUUCAUGACGAUCAGACUUCAAAAGCGAGAAUCUUCCCUCUCUCCAAUACUCAGAAAAACCCCUCCCCUGAAAAAUGAUGAAAAGCUAAAAGGCUGCUCUUAAUUAAAGCAAUAUAGGUGAAACAUGCACGUUACCAUCACCAAAAGCGUCUUAACACGCACGAUAAAUAUCUUAAGGUAUAAAUGGAAUGUUGCAUGCCUGGCACCCAAAACACAUUUUUACGUUGCAUGCGUUACAUAAAAUGAGGUAUUUUGCCCCACCAAAGCGUAUCGUGCACUUCACCCAAAGCGAGCUUUUGUUUCUAAUGACCAAAUGAAAGCUUGCCCCCAGCAAAGGAAUAUCGUACAUUUCGCUUCACGCGAAGUGAGCGUUUGUAUCUAUAUAAUGACAAAAUUAAAUCGCACCUCACCAAAGACUGAUCUUACACGUUACUGCACCCAUGAAAACAGACACAAAUAUAGCAUUGCCUAAUCAAAAACAAACAGCUUCACCCAAAGCACGCGACUGCAAAUACAUUCAUAUGCGGCUUCACCAAAACAACCAUUAAACCAUGCACGGCCCAACGUAUAAAUAAGAAUGAUACUGAUUGGCCUCAAAUCCGCAAACAAACAAAUCCGCUGAGUAUACCUGCAUCAUGCCCAUAGAACGAUGAGCAAGCUUGCGACUAAAACUAGGCAGAAAGGCACAGGACAAUGAGAACAAACCAACCGAAAAGAAAAUGCACCCUUGAAGGAAUCGAAAAAUGGAAUACAAAAGGUAGGCAAAUAUAACGAGAAAACCCGAUAAAAAUUAGCUUAUAACGCCGCUUAUAACUAAAUAAUAAUAACGAGCAGAACUGGACAAACAAAUAAUACCAAACCAAAUUAACCAUGCACAAAAAGCCGCUCUAAAGUGUUGCCGAAGCUUCACCAUAAAACAAACAGCGAGGUGCGGCAAAACAAUGGGGUGCGAAAUACAGAGUACGAAACCGUGUAUAUAGUUACGUCGCAAACCCAACAUAGGCAACAACAGUACAUAAUGUAUAGCGCGCUAUGAAACCACGAGUGGAACUAAAGCAUUCGCAAAUUAUGGUCUUACAAAAUGCCUAACUGAAAACCGCUGAUGCGAAGAUAGCACAAGACAAAAGCUCAAAAAGCACAUACCGUUCUUCGCGUCACGCAAAUGAAAACAAUACGUAAACAGAGUUAAGGCAAACCGUAAUCGCUCCACCAAGAGUAAUAGAAGCAAAACAAUUAUAGAGUGUUUCAAUAGAACAAAACAAAUUGUACAGUCAAAUGCAAAUCCAACAUAGCACCAUAUGGUAAUCCAUUGAAUACAAUGGACAAUUGCUGCGAACAAGUGAGUGACCCGCAAAAACAAAAAACUUGCUACUUAUGGGACAUGUACGAACAAUGCAGUGAAACAGCUAAGACAAUACAAGCAGCAUUAAAAUAAAAUAGAAGUGAUCUCGUUUGUAAAUAAGACAUGCGUGCGUGGCGUAACAUUAACUCAAAGCAGUGGAUAACAAACAAAUCACUUGAUUAACGUGAAUUUUAAAUUGAAAUGGUCACACUAGCCCGAAUGCACACUGCAGAUAUUGCACGCCACGCAAACAUAGGGCAAAAGAUAUGGACCUCACCAAAAAUAAUAAGCGCCAAACUAAAGAAUUUUGUUUUACAAAAGCGAAAAAAUGCAACUUGCUUAACCAAAGGUCGCAAGAGAUUAAAUGUAGUAGCUUCACCAAAAGCAAAUAGCUCAAACAUACACGCGCACGACAAAAACAAAGGACAAAAGUUUAUAGCCAUCACCUAAAAGCCGAAUGGCUAAAAUUAAUGUAAGUGCUUCACCAAAAGCAACAAAUUAAGGACAUGCGCUUCACCAAAAGCAAAAAGUCAAAUUAAGGUAUUCGCUGCACCAAAAGCAACAUACUAAGGUGAAUUGCUUCACCAAAAGCAAAAAAUCCCACCGCAUUGUCCAUACCAAAAGCACGCAAUAUACGGUAGCACAAUGUUGCUUCACCCAAAGCAAUAUAUAGUUAAAAUCCAAAAGCAAUAGUCCAAAGACAAAGUAGAAAAUAUGCCUGCCCCAAAACAAUAACGGCAUUGCGAUGGCAGUCAAAGGGGGGAAACAAACGCUUAUAGACUUAUGAAAGCAGUCAAACUCUGGGAAUUAUACGUCUCCAGCACGCGCCUGAAUACGGGAACACGUCGUAGACAUGUGUAGGGUUUUGAUUAGUGUACCCACCUCGCCAGACCGCACAUUAGGAAAACGCGAUAACAACCCAGUUGACAAAUAAUGAGGCGGAAUAUCUAAAAGAGAUUGCCAGCCAAAAAAACACCUGAACGAAUGUAACAGUGAGAAAAUAAAACAAAAUAACUACGAAAACCACGAGAUAGAGGACAGAACAUGCACAGCCGAGAAGAAAAUAGAAGACAGGUCGGCAUGCAAAAAGAAAACAAAGCAUGCACAUUGUAGGCCUAAGUACAUUUGGUCUUUGGAGGGUUGCGAGCAAAAGCAGUUACUAACGCACUACGGUGUGCAUCCAAAACAACUAUAAACACAAUGAGAAUAAACAAUACGCGUAUUAUGGACCCAAAAGCUGAAGCUAAUACAUUUAAACGCAUAUACCCAGUCACACGCCGGAGUACACGUUUCCAGAACGCAUCUGCAAGAACACGUCAUAGACAUGUGUAGGGUUUUGAUUAGUGUACCCACCUCGCCUGACCGCACAUUAGGAAAACGCUGAAACCCCACGAGAGAACAACAGAUAUGCCAUGGACAACGUUAGGCUUUGGUGCAUAUGAACUCGCUAAAAUGCCGUAUUAAUACGGAUCCGUUUAAAUAGAAACGAACGAGCAAAAUACAAUUAAGUGCCAGUGAAACUCGACAAGUAAUACGACAGGUAUGACUUAAAAACCUGCACCUAAGAAAAUGUGUGGAAAAUACGAACAGAUGCAUGCAUGCAGAUACGGAAAAGUACAGGUGGAACGUUAACAAUUAGACUAUUUUAGAGCCGUAUCUGCUUGCAAAAUUUGCGGUGGUCGCAAGGCGAUGUGUAAUAUAAAUGCCGUUGUAACAAAUUGUACUUGAUACCAAAGAAAACUUAAUAGACUCGAAACUCGCUGGGAAGACCCACUUAAAUUCGAUAGACAACAAAUCGAUACCUGAUUCCAAGCACAGCCGGUUGAGGAGGACGAUUAAUUCACAUCAUGCUCGACAUACCAUGACAAGUCAAAUUGUUUGGCGAGCGUUAUCGUUCUUCUGUGUAAGCAAGGCAUUUCGUUAAAUUCCCAAGGCCGGGCUCGGCUGCGACACGUGUGACUUGGAUGACCAAAAAUUUCAGCGCCGUCCUUCCUUUUCGGUGGCAAAUUCGCAAUGCUCAAAAAAUACCGAUUCCAUAGAUUAGGAAAUGAAUAGAUGGCUCACUCCUUUGAUGUUUUUGACGCUGCCGGCACCCACGCAUGUUCUUGCCAGAGUAAUGGCGGCCUAGUAAGUAACUUUAUCGCUUCCUUUUCUUAACACUAUGUCAGCAAGAUAUCCUGCAACGAUUAGCUCUGUUUUCUGU